CCCAUUUCCCGGGAUGGAUGUUUAUUGUGUUAAUGUCUACUCUUCCUUAUCCUCCCAAACCCAAGAUAACAAGGAGACGGGGAGCUCAAUAGACUGAGACAUAAGCUGGAAACUGACCUCAUUUCGGGUAGGUGUAGUGAUUCCCAGGUUCCAGCUACGAAACCCACCCAACCCUGCAUUUUUUUGCCUUGGACCAGUCCACCUCAUUUUGAUGCUUGGCCAUCUAGAUCCCGGGUCACAUUGGAGCACGAACCCUGUGACCACUCAUCGUCCCUCCCCAUCUGUUCACUUGGCAGGCGACCCUUUGUGGAUGCUUUGCUCGAUGAAGAACAAGAGUUCUGACGAGUUCAGAGGUUGUUGGGAGAGAACGGAAAAACUUCUACAGAGCAACGAGACUGCUUUCAACAUAAAAAUGAUCCCCGAGUCAAAGCCCACCAUCAGGUUGAGAAACAAAGCAAAACAAAACGGAAAAGGCAGCCUGAGCCAAUCUCAUGCUUGGUCAACAACUAACUCUUCAGUCUGGAAUGGGUUUGAGGGGAAAGUUGGAGACUGGAAAUAAAUGACCUAAAAUCAGUGGUCUGAAGGACAGGGCCAUCAAAGGGACACAAAAGAUACGUAUUCUUUCUGUUUCAGGUCUGGGAAACUAGAACUCAAUGUUAAUACAGAUGACAUCUAAUAACCUGUCUGGCAGUCAGGGUCUUCUGGAAAUCUCCCUGGAGCUUCUGGAGGGGAAGGAGGGAUUAUUGCCAUCUCCCCAUUUUGUAGGUAGAGACAUCGAGGAACCAAGAGAUAAGAGAACUUCUUAAAGCCACAGUCAAGAUUCCAGGAUCACUGUAAGGAGAGUGGGGUGGGAGUAGGGGCUUUUAGCUCAGAGCUGUGACCUGCAUGGAGUCUGGGGUUUUUCAUGCAUCUACCUUCUGGCUUUGAAUCAUAUUUGGCUUUAGGAGUCAUUAGUACCUGUGGGCCCAGAGGUUUCCAUACACAGUAACAUGUGGAAACUGGUCAAGUACAACAGAAGGCCCAUGUCGUUUCUCUGAACAGUGUCCCCACCUCCUGUUUUGGAAUUCAAAUACAAGAAAGUAGAAGCUCUUGAUUUUCUGUUGAGCUUAAGAAAUUUUGUCUCUAAACCCCAUAUCUCCUAUAAUAUUUUGUCCCCUUUCUGUUUUAACCCCAUGUGGGGGUUGAGUAUGGCUAACCCAGGGAGUUGCACUAUUCAGAGAUGUGGCCUUGUUGGAAUAGGUGUGCUAUGAUGGGCAUGGGCUUUAAGACCCUCAUCCUAGCUGCCUGGAAGCCAUUCUUCUCCUAGCAGCCUUCAGAUGAAGAUGUAGAACUCUCGGCUCCUCCUGCACCAUGCAUGACUGGAUGCUGCCAUGCUCCCACCUUGAUGACAAUGGACAGAACCUGAACCUGUAAGCCUGCCCCAAAAUUAAAUGUUGUCCUUUAUAAGACUUGCCUUGGUCCUGGUGUCUCUUGACAACAAUAAAACCCUAAGACACCCAACUUCA
rnacentral:lncRNA from 1 species